UCCUCGGUAGUCUAGUGGUUAGGAUUUGGCACUUUUACUGCCAUGGCUUGGGUUUGAUUCCCAGUCAGGGAA